rnacentral:lncRNA from 1 species
CCGUCACUGCUUUCUAGUGCCUGACUAAAGACCCAGGCGGUGUGCUGGAUAAUUCAGGAGGGAAAAUACUUGUUCGGAAAGUUGCUGGGCAGUCUGGUUACAAAGGAAGCUACUCGAAUGGGGUUCAGUCUUUAUCUUUACCCAGAUGGCGAGAGUCCUUCAUCGUCGCAGACAGCUGAGUAGAUGCUCAUUUGCCUUCUGAACAAAAACACAGAGGACUACCUAAUUUUAGGCAUAAGAACAUAAAAGCGAUGGAUGGAUACCUCUGCCUCCCUCUCUGUGACCUCGGUGUGGCCCACAGCCAGGAGGCCCCUCAUGGGGUCCAAACAGCCUCAACCUGGGUCCGCUCAGAGCAGGCCCUGACAUGGCUAAAGACUUGGAAAUGACCCGUUCUGCUCCCCAGAUGAUUUUAAUGCAAUGAUGUAAGAGGCACCUGUAAGCCAGAGAGUUUGCCUCAUUUUUGCCUUUGAGUGGAACUUACAGAUAAUGUCUGAAUAAAGCUUUGCAUCUUUGUGGGC